GCUGAGUUUUGGGCCGGUUUUUUUUUUUUUUUUUUUUUUUUUUUUUCCCGGUAGCAAUACCCGCGCUUCAAAGUGAGGUUCUUCUUCCCGUUCAAAGGCACGCUUCCAAAGCGGUCCUCCUGCGUGGACAGAAACAAGGGCUUCAGCCUGGAGCUGCUUUUCUUGGGUACACGUGUCCCCGUUUCCCGCCUUGGCACGGAUGCUCAGGCCGGCCGAACCCCGCCACGGCGCGCGGGGUAAGGGCCCAUCGACGGCUCCGUCAGCCUGGCGGGGACACGUGCCACCCGCUCCGUCACCGCCGCCACCACCGGAACGGUCGCUUCCGAAGGUGGCAAGGCGGGUGCCGGGGGACAGUCACCUCUCCGCAGCACUCGCUUUGUAAACCGGUCCCUUUCCCCGGGUGCUUGUACCCUUGCGGUACUGCGUGCUGCGUCGGGGCCAGGGGAUGCUGCUACCGGAGCUUUUGAUGUGGAAGAAAAGCAGCGGAAAGGAAAACCGGUGUUUCCAAACACGGGCAGAAGUGGCGGUGCGUUGUAGCACGCAAACUUUUAGCAGACUAGGUGACGAACGCGUCUCUCACCUGCCAGCUGGCAACAGCAUUGUCACUAGGCGGUUCCGCGCCACAAACUCGAAUUAACAUCUCAAAACGAAAAGCAGGUAUGCGUUGGUGCAUUCUGUCUUUUCUCCUUGAGGAGCGUAGUCCUUACCAACAUUGAAAACAGAUUGUCCUGUGUGCUCCGAGGAGGAGAUAGUUCUGUUUGUCUCAGAUGUAGGAAAAAAGCAUUAUUCUCUUGUAUACAUGCUCCUCUCCAGCGGGAAAUUACUGUCUCAAGGUGAAAGAAACUUGAAGGCUUGCUUAAAUGUUUUGAGAGCGUUUGAUAGAAGGUGACAUUUGAAACACCAAGUGUUAUUAUGAGAUUUUAUAACUCAGAACUAUUACUGGGCCGUGUCCUAGAGGUUUUACUCAAACCCAUGUUUUUAAACGCCAAUGUCUGGAAUUUAAACUAAAGUGUAUUGACGUCAAACACCUUAGGUAUUUGGUUUGCUUUUUAGAAACAUUUAACUCCUUGCUGGAUAGGGCCUCUGGAGACUUUAAAAAGGCAAAAAUUUCACUCUGGAGCUUUUGACCACUUGUUACGAGGUCUGGCCUCUUGUAAUUGUAUUUGGGUUUUAUCUGCUGUUUUUUCUAAAUUGUUAAUUCAAUCACAAACAGUUCUUAGCUGUAAGCAGUAGCUUUAGUUCAAGAGCAGAACUUGGUAUUGGGGUUAUUCAUAAGAAUCCACACAGCCAACAACCUCUUCCUCCAAGGUAACCAGAUAAUCAGUAAGGUUAAAUACUAACAAAAGUAAAUAUGAACCCAUAUAUGAAUGCAAUUAUUUUUUCUGAUACUAACUGAAUAACUUGCCUGGGAAAUGGGUCUUAGUUUAGCUCUCAUGGUUGAUCCUAAACCUCCUCUUACCAAUACCCCAGAGACUCUCUGGUUAAUUUUGUGGCACAAAAUAUUUAAUUAUGUGCUCUGCCAAGUGAAUACAAGGUCUCAAAUUGAAUUUCAGCCUCUCUGGGCAACUAUUUUAGACACUUUGGUAGAAUGUAAAUGCAUAUUUUCUGCAUGCCAGAUCCUGGCCCCAUAUCCAUCAAAGUAAAUCUUCAGUAGUUCCACUGAAGGCUUGGAACAAUCCUAAGUUAUGUUAUUGAGGUCAGAUUGUGACCCUGAAGCCCUGGCAGAGACCCAAACCAAGAAAUUUGUGUGGGAAAUUGGGGAGGGAAUAAAUUAGCACUUGCCUAUGCUUUUUGUGGGAGUAAACUGUUACAAAGGUGUGAGCUAAGAUGAAAGCUCCUAAUAGUGGUGGAUAUUGCUUUCCAGCUGUUUCUGCUGGAAAUAGCUCUCUGUGUGUGUGUAUGGGAUGGGUCCUUAUUUUCUGAUGGUGCUCUGUCUCAAAUAACAACCAGUUUUACUUUUACUUCCCCUGACUGUCCCCGUCCCCUAACUCCCUCCAAAGAAAAAUUGCUUAAUCUAGUAAAGAAAAAGUGCAUGGUUAGGUUCUAGUUUGGGGGUUUUUUUGCUCUGGUGAAUUUAAACCUUCAUUUUCUCUCCUUGCCAAACAACAGUGGCAGGUCUAAAUAGUAUUAGGUAAUUGCAGUUGUCAUACUGGACAUUGUACUGUGGAAAAAAUUAAUUGCUGUUUUUUCGCCUGAGGGUUUAAGCAGCGGUCCCUUCGUCUGACUGGGAGCAUGUCGUUUUCCUCCCGAUUGAGACUGCGUACUGUCGAGCAGCAUGAAAGAAUUCCUGUACAGCUGCACUGGGUGUGUUAGAUGGAAGACAAAUGAAUCUGCUCCAUCUUCAAAUACUGGUGCCAGAGAAGACACCUCACCUGAAAUGUUGCUCUCUGAUGUGGAGAACUUUGAUCUGAAUUUCUCCCAAGGAUCCCAAGGUUGUCUCACCGGCAGCAAAACCUGAAGGAAAACUGCUUUGCUUUAUUUUUGAGGGUUCUAGUUUGGCUGGUCAAAGUGACAUGAGAUCAGUUGCCUGCGUGUUGUUUUCUACCCAUCGGGAACCGGAGAAGCUAUUGCACGGUUCAUCUUUGGUACUCAGACCCUGCAGCCAAAUUCUUGGCUGAGGUAAAUUUAUGGCAGUAAAAGAAUCAGCCCAUUGUUUCUAGUUACCCUCUUUGGAGUUUCUGUAUUGCUCAACAUUGUCUAGUACUCUAGAAACUCUGGGAUUUAAAACAAAAAAAAAAGUCAUUACUGGUACUAUUUUCUCUGCCUCUCAGGCUGUGCAGCUGGGUUGCCUUAGUUACCACCAAUCCAACUGUGCGAGGGGAGGAAGAGGCGCAUGAGAGAUAAUACAUUUUUAAAACCUCCAAUACUGUAUGAAACAGUUUGUCUAUAAAUAAUAAAACAAAUAUAGGGUCUGGCAUCUUUUGGUUGUUCCGAAAAGGAAAAACAAGGUUAUAUUAUUCGACAGCCUGGAUUUUCCAGCUCUCAGAAAUGAUACUGCAUCUUUUUGGUCAAGCACAGGAUGUAGCUUUAAAAAUUACUUGCUUGAAGCUGAAAGCUGCUAUCCAUAGACUUCGGAAUAAGUUGGAACUGAAUGUAGUUUUAAGGGUGAAAAAGAGUAAAUAUUUAUGUAGCUGGUUUUAGGAAAAACGACAGUGGCCUGAAGCUAUAAAGGAACAUGGAAGAGAGCCCAUAUGAAGCACGGGAUGCUGUGAGACAAGCUUCAUUUGCAGCCUACGGUCUGCCACAGGAUGGUUAUUUUAACUGCAUCAUCGACCUUACUGUGGUGGGAAAGUGAGACAGGAAAGGGUAGGAUGAAAAAAAGUACGUGGAGCCAUUUUUGCUGUGAGAAGAAAGGUAUGUUGGAACCACUUCUUCAUUCAGUUUGCAGCUCUUUUUACUCUGGCAAUGCUGAGCCAAAGAUUUGUCUCAGUCAGGAACAUAUUAAGACUCUGGCACGCUGUAAUUUGGAAUAGCUUCUCUCUGGCUGUGUUUCAAUGCUUAUUGGGACCUUGUUAUCAAUACCAGCUUAAGGAAGUCCUACCCUUCUCUUGGGUGGACACAGCUGGGAAAUGGAUUGGGAAAAUGAUCCGAGUUGAAAACAGCCCCUGCUUGCAAGAAACAGGCGCGUGUGGUGGAGUAGGGAGGAGUGAGGGGUGGUGGGCAGGAGCUUAUUGAGAACGUAUUGCUGCCAAAGCCCCCGUAUUAUCGGAACUGCAGCCUCAGAUACCGCAGAGCUGCCAGCUUUUGGGGUGCAGCUUGCAGCUUCUUUUAUCAGCGUACAGCAAAUCCAGGCAAUGCUGCCAGGCCUGGGGGUGAAGAGCUGAGGAUGCACGCGAAGUAGCAAGAGUUUGCACAAACAUGGGGAACCGUGACUCAGGGGGAGUGUGCUGCACGUGGAUGAAAACACCAUGUAAUUGUUAAGGCCAUGAUUUUGUGGCUCCUCUGAAAAAUGCCAAGUAUCACACCAGAUAUCAAUGGAGGAUAUCAUGUAUGCCGUGUUUAUAUAUUAUCUUCUGAGGUUACACUCAUGCUACAUUCAUGGGGGUGCUUUUGAGCCUUUCUGUGUGCACAGAAAAGAAAGUUGACUGCUUGCCCAGUUUCUUUAGAAAUCUCUAACAUCUCUUAAGUGAGUAUAUUUAGUCAGCUGUUCAAAAUGCAUCUAAUUUUUGCAGUUAAUUUGAUCUCUGCUUGGCACAACCUUUUGUCCGAUCAAUUAACACCUUGGAAAUCAAAUUAUUUUAAUUCUGAUUAUCUCCAACUUACGCAUCAGGCAUACUUUAGGCCUGAAAUUACUAAUACGUACUCAGUGAUGAAAAAAUCUGAUAUCUAGAUGUGUCAGAUAUCGGAUUUCAUAUAAAGACCUAUACUGUCUUGCAGCGAUGAUAUGGUCUUUGAUUAGUAAUAGUUAAUGUUUAUGUGAUGCCUCUUAAACCAGAGCUAGUGCAGAAAGGCUGCAGAUCUGUUUUCAUUUACCAGCAAUCCUCAUCUUGUAUCAUGUUUAUGCAAGAAUAGAAUUCAGCCAAAAUUUCCAAACAUGGACAUGUAGAGCAAGCGUCUUAUUUGCAAAGGUAUCGAGCAGUGAAGUUGGUUAUUCAGCACAUUUGAAAGUCAAUCUGCUGCUUUUAGGUAGCUGAGUACGGAUGGUGAGAGACUAGCUACAGACACUCUACUUUGGCUUGACAGGCAUGUGAGACUUCACAAAAUGGAUCAGGCAUCAAACGUUCCCUGAGAACAGAGGGAGGUUGUCUUAUUUAUUUUCAGAGGUGUUUUUGCAGCGUUUUUUCUUUCAUCAGAAAGCUAGUUUAGGAAAUUGCAAAUGCUCACACAUUUGUCCUAAAUAAAAUACACACGUUUUCCUGACAGAAACACUUUCAUCCUCAAAAACUUUAUCUUGAAUGAAAAGAAGAGAGGAAACCAGAAGGGAAAAUACUAAUACUACUACUAAUAAUAACAACAAUAAUAACAAUAAUAAUAUCCCAUGCCAAAACCCCAAAGCUGCUUCAUCAGUUCUUUCUUUCUUCCACCUGUUGAAUGUGUCCUCCUAAACUACUUUUUUUUUUUUUUUCUAACUGCCCAUUUGUCCAAGGAAGCUGCCUUUCAUUUUCUUUAAAUCACUACUGAUUAUACCACUACCAAAGCAGACGGGAGAUGUUCUCAACAGUUCGUAAAACUUUCUGAAGUGCUGUUUUACUCACGGAGCUGCUGCAAUUGCUUUCACUUGGAUACACUAAUGCCUUCCUAUAAAUUGUCAGUAAACAGUGCCAUUCCCUAG